UACAGAGGGUGCGAGCGUUAAUCGGAAUUACUGGGCGUAAAGGGUGCGUAGGUGGUUGAUUAAGUCGUUUGUGAAAAACCCGGGCUUAACCUGGGCUGUGCGGACGAAACUGAUGAACUUGAGUCGGAUAGAGGGAAGUGGAAUUUCCGGUGUAGCGGUGAAAUGCGUAGAUAUCGGAAGGAACACCAGUGGCGAAGGCGGCUUCCUGGAUCCAGACUGACACUGAGGCACGAAAGCGUGGGGAUCAAACAGG
rnacentral:rRNA from 1 species